rnacentral:misc_RNA from 1 species
GAUGGAGAACGUAGCGAAAUGCGAUAAGUAAUGUGAAUUGCAGAAUUCAGUGAAUCAUCGAAUCUUUGAACGCACAUUGCGCCCGCCAGUAUUCUGGCGGGCAUGCCUGUUCGAGCGUCAUUACAACCCUCAGGCCCCCGGGCCUGGCGUUGGGGAUCGGCGGAGCCCCCCGUGGGCACACGCCGUCCCCCAAAUGCAGUGGCGGUCCCGCCGCAGCUUCCAUCGCGUAGUAGCUAACACCUCGCGACUGGAGAGCGGCGCGGCCACGCCGUAAAACACCCAACUCUUCUGAAGUUGACCUCGAAUCAGGUAGGAAUACCCGCUGAACUUAAGCAUAUCAAUAAGCGGAGGA